UGCAGGAAGGUUGUCUAUGAAGACACAUUGGUUGUGGGCAUGAGCAGGCAGAAUGGGGCCAUUUGAUGAAUUGGAGUUGGGAUGACCAUCACCAUGAAUUUGUAUAGCAAUUCCCCACAGUGCUUUCUUCAUUUUCACAGCAGAAAACAGGGGUCUACAAAGCCUUAUACAAGUUGAGGUGCAGCCAUGCUCUGCUUCAACUUGACUGUCUUGUGAUAUUCUCACAACCCUGUUUCUGGUGAGUCUACCUGGAGCAGCCCUGCACCUGUGCCUGGAUCAGCCCCUCCAUCCCUCCACCCUGCAGUACAGACUUCCCACUGCUGGCUUCACUCCGGAGUACAGCAUGAACAAGCUGAAGUACUCUUCAGUUUUCCCGUGUGGAAUUGAAGUGUCUGACUUUGAAAAGUGGUUAAGGACCUCACUUCAACAUUGGUCUUGAGCAGAGGACAACCCGGGACUUGGAGGACUGAGGACCUUGGUUUGCAGAUUGCAGCAGAGCAGUGCAUGUCAGUGUGGGGACCAAGGUCAGGAGCCUCCUUGCUGGAGUCUCAGGUCCUCCUUAGGAACUGGUUCCAGAGGCACUCCUGGAUGUGGGAGGAUGCCUCGUGAGUGACAUGAACACCAGGACAAGGGUUGGAGACAGUGCACCAGGGAGGAUUCUGAGGAUUCUCACCUAGAACAUGAAUUCCACAAGCUCUGUUCAUGUGGAGACACAGAGACAGACUGAGGCAGAGACAGAGCAUGGACCCAGGAGAGAGGAAACCAGGAAAAACCACAGACUUGCAUAAAGCAGCUUGGAAAUGACACCCCAUCAUUCCUUCUAUCCCUUAGAGCAAAGUCACAUGGGCCACCCACCCAGGAAGGGAGGGCAUAACAGGGAUGUGUGACCAGGAUUCAGGAACACUGGGAGACACUAUGGGGACUGCCCCAUAGCAUCAUCAGCCCAGAGGAUGCACUGGGACCUGAGCCCAAAUAUCAUGGAAGACCAUGUAAGUGUGUGU
rnacentral:lncRNA from 1 species